UUCAAGGCCACCCUACUUCCAGGACAGCAAGAACUACACAGAGAAACCCUGGCUCAAAAAAACAAAAAUGAAUAAAAUAAACCAACCAUCAAUAAAGCUAAAGAUUUACUAGAUGGUCAGGCUAAAAACAAAGUAAUUGUGUUGUUAAUUUAGCUUAAGUAAGUCUAUGUGUGUGGGCACCAAUAUUUGUAAUAAAAUACCUCAGAACUACAAGGAAGGAGGCGAUUAACAGCAACAGGAAGGGUAGUGUCACACUGGUCAGCAGGAAUUGCCAUUGUGAUAUUUAUAGACAGCAGACGAGGUGACAUAUGGAUGAAUGAGAUUCCAGCCAGGGGCAUUGAAGGCAAAGCCUCAGGGCUCAGGCCUUUUUACUAUGCCUAGUGCUAUGGACCUUCAGGCCUCCUAAGCAGAGGAAAAGGCCUGGACCAUCAUUCACAUCUCACGGGGGAGGGGACCAGAGCCAGGGGAAGAGGGGUUGUGCAGCCUCAUGGUGAGAUCCAGUCCACCACUCCUGCUGUAGCCACACAUCUCCCACCUCCACGGAGGGCCAUUUCAACCCUUGAGUGACAUAGCUUCUAUCCGUUUUAAUUUAUUCUCUUGCAUCCCACACCACUCUGAGUCCUUUGGUCAAGUGCAUCCAUUCAAGACGCCCCCACCCCCACCCCCCAGCAUUCCUGUCUAGCAGAAGCAAGGAAGCCUCAAGCUCCUUCCAGUACGCUAUGUGAACUCAACCCUGCAAGGCAGAUCAGAGGCACUGCUGCAAGAUCUAGCUUUUAGUUCAGCCCUCUCACUGUGCAUGGAAGAGACCCCACUUCUUGCAACCCAAGCACAGCCUGUCUGCAUAGCUCCCUCCCACAACAGGAGGUUCACAUUUCCAGAGAGACAGAUGGGGCUCAGGUAGGCAGAACACCUGUGUGUGAGCCUGUGUCCUGUCUCAUCAUGUCUAAGUUGCCUGUAGUUUGACCAGAGUAUACUAGAAGCCAGCCAUUUCUUAGGGAGAUUGGCACCAACCUCAUGGAAUGUUCAGGAAGUUCCCAGCUCUGCUCUUAAAACCAAGCCCAAUGUGGUCCUCAGUAAGAUGUUGCAAGUUCCUAAACUGGACACAGAGGCCAAGAGCUGUGUGGCCUGGAAAUUAGAGCUGGCUAUUACCCAUCAACACAGACACCCUGAGUCAGCCUUCCUCUUCCCUCUGCUAAGGUUGUCAGAGCCUCAGCAAUGCUCCUGCCCUAGGGAAGCCCAGCUGCCACCUCUCUGAGUGACUUAAUAGCUGUGCCCAUGGAAUUUAAAGGAGUGCCUCGGAUCCCCUGGAACUGGAGUUAUAAGCAGUCAAACCUGGGCCCUCUGCAGGAGUAGGAAAUGCUCUUACCUGCUGAGCCAUCUUUCGAGCUCUGACUUGAGGCAUCUCAGUGGCUUGGCUUCUUCAGUAUAUUUGAAACUUCUGGUGCCUGGAUCUCUCCCUGACCCCAAAGAUUCCAAAGAGAUUGAUGUGAGUUAAAAUAAAUAAAUACAAAGUUUGUAUUAAAGGAUGACAUAAACAACAACAAAAAAGCACAAGGCA